UUCCAAUAUUUGUGAGCUUUAAUUUUCACUAGUUAGAGAAAAACCUCAGAGUGAGAAAGUCUUCGUAAGAGAAAUUUUUGGGUGUAAUUAGGUUGUGGGUUUGUGAGAAAUUUUAUUAGGUGUAAUUGAGUCGUGGGUUUGUGAGAGAAUGAGGGUUUGUAAACACACUCUUUUCAAUAAAAGGUCUGCAACAGCCCGGAGACGUAGGCAUAAUUGGCUGAACCCUGUUAUCAAUUUAUGUGUGCUAUUAUUCCACAUUUAAAUCGCUAUUCCACGAAUCUGACUAUGAGAAAUUUUGCGUAGUUUCCUAUCAACUGACAUCAAAGAAAUUAUUAGGUUUGAGCUUCACCGUGAUCAUGAGCACUAAGGUAAAAAGAAGGCACAGAAGUAGAAGUAGCAUUGUCAACCAUGUGGAAAAAGUCUAACAGGUUGGAAAAAAUCAACUAUGCAGAAUGAUUCCAUUCUAUGUGAAAAGUCAACUCUUGAAAAAAGCCAACAACCAAAAAAGUCAACUUCCGGUUGAAAAAGUCAACUAUGUGGAUAUUGAGCAGAAAAAGUCGGUUGCGUGAAAAUAUUACGGCGCGUAUCCUGAGGCAGAAAAUGAUGAAUGANAAUGCGCGAUUUGAGGCUUUCGACAACGCUGAGCGCGAUCCGAGGCUGUUGGCGUCGCACAGAUCCUAAGUUUCGACGACUGUGUGACUGGAAGAUUGAAAAAGAAGAGAGGUAAGAACGGUGACGACACGAGGUUUGAGACUAGGGUUUGGAACCUAAACCUAAUACCAUGUAAGAGGUGGUAACUCUCGAAUAAUGUUUAAUUCACAUACCAAUUCCACCUCCACCUUAUGAGGUUAAGUAGAAAUGAGAGAGAAAUGAAUGAUAUGAUUUGUGAUGUGACAGGAAAUGCAGAGAGAGAUAGAAAGAAAAAUAGGUGGAAAUGAGAUGGAAGAGAAAGUGAGGUGUGUAUAUAUCAUUACCCGGUAACUCUCACCACAAUUUGUGUGAGAUAGGCAAUAUUAUUUAUAACAAGAAAAAUACAUAAUAUUUUAAGGAAUAUGCCACAGAAUAAUAAAUGAAUAUCUCGUAGGAUAUUAUAUCUAUUUAUCUCUAAGAGG
rnacentral:lncRNA from 1 species